GGCUACCACAUCCAAGGAAGGCAGCAGGCACGCAAAUUACCCAAUCCCAGCUCUGGGAGGUAGUGACGAAAAAUAACAAUGCGGGACUCUUCCGAGUCUGCGUAAUUGGAAUGAGCACACUUUAAAUCCUUUAGCAACAAUCAAUUGGAGGGCAAGUCUGGUGCCAGCAGCCGCGGUAAUUCCAGCUCCAAUAGCGUAUAUUAAAGUUGUUGCGGUUAAAAAGCUCGUAGUUUGAGGUCAGUUCCGGACUGGGGCGGGAGGUCACCGCCCGGUGCUUCCCCUUCAGGCUCCGAACAGCUUCCUUUACUGGAAGCCAAGCCGGAUUGGGAGGGGUGCUCUUUACCGAGUGUCCGUUUCGGCCGGCCAGUUCACCUUGAAUAAAUGAGAGUGCUCAAAGCAGGCUACUCUGGAAUACAAUGCCCGAAUGUUACCUGCAUGGAAUGAUGGAAGAUGAUCUCGGUUGCAUUUUGUUGGUGGUGGCAGCCAGAGUAAUGAUAAAGAGGGACUGUCGGGGGCAUCCGUACUACGACGCGAGAGGUGAAAUUG
rnacentral:rRNA from 1 species